rnacentral:lncRNA from 1 species
UCUGCUACUCCUCUGCAUGGGCUGCAUCCAGGCAGAGAUCCUGUGGUGAGCAGGUGACCAGAGCCACAAGGGCUGGGGAGAUGGCUAUGUGUGUAAAGUUCCUGCUGUACACCAGGACCCAAGUCCAGAUCACCAACAUGCACGGAAAAGUUGGGUAUGGAAGACACCAUGCCUGUGAUCCUGUCACGGGGAGGAAGAAACAAGAGGCUCCCUGGGGCUUGAUGUCUAGCCAGUGAGCUCUAGGUUCAGUGGCAGGCAAUGACUCAAGAAAAUCAGAGGCUUAGCUCCUCACUUCACACAGAAGCAGCAGCAGUAACCGCUGAUACACAUCCAACGUGCCACAUGUGCUUGUGACCUGUGGCUUAUGGCAUGGGUGGCUGUGAAUGCAGCCCAAGCACAGAACUCAUAAACAUAUUUAAAACAUUA